AUUGAACGCUGGCGGCAUGCUUUACACAUGCAAGUCGAACGGCAGCGCGGGGGCAACCCUGGCGGCGAGUGGCGAACGGGUGAGUAAUGUAUCGGAACGUAUCCUGUAAUGGGGGAUAACCAGUCGAAAGAUUGGGUAAUACCGCAUACGCACGAGAGUGGAAAGUAGGGGGAUCGCAAGACCUUACGUUAUAGGAGCGGCCGAUAUCUGAUUAGCUAGUUGGUGGGGUAAAGGCCUACCAAGGCGACGAUCAGUAGCUGGUCUGAGAGGACGACCAGCCACACUGGGACUGAGACACGGCCCAGACUCCUACGGGAGGCAGCAGUGGGGAAUUUUGGACAAUGGGCGAAAGCCUGAUCCAGCCAUGCCGCGUGCAGGAAGAAGGCCUUCGGGUUGUAACUGCUUUAGUCUAGGAAAAGGGUAGACGAGGUUAAUACCUCGUGCUUGUAUGGUACUGGAAGAAUAAGCACCGGCUAACUACGUGCCGAGCAGCCGCGGUAAAAGUACUACC
rnacentral:rRNA from 1 species